AUGGGGAGAAACAUGAUAGAAAGUGGCUUGUUUAUUCAAAAGAUCUUGACAAAGUUUUUUGCUUAUGUUGUAAGACCUUCUAUUAUAGUGUCUGCUUUGGAGAUUUUCGAGCAUUUCAGAGAAGUUGAUUGCUAUUCUAAUAUCUCCACUGCUUAUCACAUCUUAUUUACUGUGCUCGUCACGGUCGCAUUGGCUGAAAGAAGCUUUUCGAAGUUGAAAUUAUUGAAGAAUUAUUUGAGGUCAACAAUGACUCAGGAGAGGUUAAUGGCUUUGCUGCAUUUUGCAUCGAGAAGAAAUUACUGGAUCAGAUUGACAUCGAUCCUAUCAUAA
rnacentral:rRNA from 1 species